GCAGAGAAAACAGCUCCUUGGUGAAUUGAUAAGUAAAGGCAGAAAAGAUUAUAUGUCAUACCUCCAUUGGGGAAUAAGCAUAACCCUGAGAUUCUUACUACUGAUGAGAACAUUAUCUGCAUAUGCCAAAAAAUUUUAAGCAAAUGAAAGCUACCAAUUUAAAGUUACGGAAUCUACCAUUUUAAAGUUAAUUGCUUGUCAAGCUAUAACCACAAAAAUAAUGAAUUGAUGAGAAAUACAAUGAAGAGGCAAUGUCCAUCUCAAAAUACUGCUUUUACAAAAGCAGAAUAAAAGCGAAAAGAAAUGAAAAUGUUACACUACAUUAAUCCUGGAAUAAAAGAAGCCGAAAUAAAUGAGAGAUGAGUUGGGAUCAAGUGGAUUGAGGAGGCUGUGCUGUGUGCCAAUGUUUCGUUUGCCUCAGACAGGUAUCUCUUCGUUAUCAGAAGAGUUGCUUCAUUUCAUCUGGGAGCAGAAAACAGCAGGCAGCUGUUAACAGAUAAGUUUAACUUGCAUCUGCAGUAUUGCAUGUUAGGGAUAAGUGCUUAUUUUUAAGAGCUGUGGAGUUCUUAAAUAUCAACCAUGGCACUUUCUCCUGACCCCUUCCCUAGGGGAUUUCAGGAUUGAGAAAUUUUUCCAUCGAGCCUUUUUAAAAUUGUAGGACUUGUUCCUGUGGGCUUCAGUGAUGGGAUAGUACACUUCACUCAGAGGCAUUUGCAUCUUUAAAUAAUUUCUUAAAAGCCUCUAAAGUGAUCAGUGCCUUGAUGCCAACUAAGGAAAUUUGUUUAGCAUUGAAUCUCUGAAGGCUCUAUGAAAGGAAUAGCAUGAUGUGCUGUUAGAAUCAGAUGUUACUGCUAAAAUUUACAUGUUGUGAUGUAAAUUGUGUAGAAAACCAUUAAAUCAUUCAAAAUAAUAAACUAUUUUUAUUAGAGAAUGUAUACUUUUAGAAAGCUGUCUCCUUAUUUAAAUAAAAUAGUGUUUGUCUGUAGUUCAGUGUUGGGGCAAUCUUGGGGGGGAUUCUUCUCUAAUCUUUCAGAAACUUUGUCUGCGAACACUCUUUAAUGGACCAGAUCAGGAUUUGAGCGGAAGAACGAAUGUAACUUUAAGAGGCAUUUCAUCCUUCAUGAAGCCAUUCAGGAUUUUGAAUUGCAUAUGAGUGCUUGGCUCUUCCUUCUGUUCUAACUUCACAGAGAAUGCAGUUGUCUUGACUUCAGAUGCAACCUUAAAAUCAGUGACAAGAAACAUUCCAAACAAGCAACAGUCUUCAAGAAAUUAAACUGGCAAGUGGAAAUGUUUAAACAGUUCAGUGAUCUUUAGUGCAUUGUUUAUGUGUGGGUUUCUCUCUCCCCUCCCUUGGUCUUAAUUCUUACAUGCAGGAACACUCAGCAGACACACGUAUGCGAAGGGCCAGAGAAGCCAGACCCAGUAAGAAAAAA
rnacentral:lncRNA from 1 species